rnacentral:rRNA from 1 species
AACAUCCUACGGGGGGCAGCAGUGGGGAAUAUUGCACAAUGGGGGGAACCCUGAUGCAGCGACGCCGCGUGGGUGAAGGAGUACUUCGGUACGUAAAGCCCUAUCAGCAGGAAAGAAAAUGACGGUACCUGACUAAGAAGCCCCGGCUAACUACGUGCCAGCAGCCGCGGUAAUACGUAGGGGGCAAGCGUUAUCCGGAUUUAUUGGGUGUAAAGGGCGUGUAGGCGGGAACGCAAGUCAGAUGUGAAAACUCAGGGCUCAACCCUGAGCCUGCAUUUGAAACUGUGUUUCUUGAGUGCUGGAGG